rnacentral:tRNA from 1 species
CAGGGUGUAGCUCAGCCUGGUUGGAGUACCGCACUUGGACUGCGGGGGUCAGAGGUUCGAAUCCUCUCACCCUGAC